rnacentral:lncRNA from 1 species
GUAACAGCUAAUGCACAGAAUGCCCAGCCUUUUAGAGGAGGCCAAGCAGGUGUUGGGCAGGUAUGUCUGAAAUAGGGAAUGAUUUAGCAGACAACAGCGGGAGGGGAUUCCCACCUGUGCUGCAGUGGUUCCUCUGCUAUAUACAUGCAUAAUCCCUAACACUAAAGCUAUAGACCUCUGCCACAUGACCUGGUUGGUAGGCCCACUUGAGUUGCUCAAGGUCCAAAUUGUACCUUCUACUUGAAGUGCUGAAAUUACAGUGGACCAGAACAAUCUCCCAGGUAACAAUUGGCUGUAGUAGUUUCUAGUGCAAAGGAUGCAAAACUUCUGCUUCCCUAAUAAGACUGUAAAUGCGGGAAUCUAUUUUGCUCUGAUUCUAAACUUUACCCUAACAAAGUUUAAAAUUGCACUCACAGUCAGACUGCAGGAUUUUGAAUUCCUACGUUUAAGAUUUUCUGUAAUGAGGCUGUAGUUGAAAUUUACAGAGAUAGCACCUUGGUGGCAGCAGUGUCAUCAGCAGUGCACUCUGACCCCCAGUCCAGCACUGUUCCUUCCUGCCGUGUUCUGAGCAGCACCUCCUUGUGGCUUCGUGUUCCUGUUGCUAUUUCUGGGUGAGGAGAUGUUUCUCAAAGGACUUUUUCAAAUGCAGUUGUUUGUUUUCCACAGCAGAAUGGUACUGUGCACGUAACUCGGGAAGGUCUACCUGAUAUACACCUCUCAAGUAGCCUGAGUGCUCAGCAAAUGUUACUCCUUCAUAUUUAACUAUUUCCAGAUUAAUACACAAUUUUAAAAGAGCUUAAAUGUUUUGGUGCUGAAAGUUGGAAUGCUGAAUUGUGAUCCAGGUGAGAAAUUGUGUUUCUAUUUUCCCUUGCAGAAAGUUACUGAGAUGCAUAGAACACUUAGACAUUACAAAGUUCCGUGUGAGUAACUGAUUCUUAUUCUGUUGACACAGUGAAAUCACAUGCACUGCUCUGUACCUCUUGCCCUUCUUGCGGUGAUUAGCAGCAUUACACCGCUCAGGGUGCAGCUUGCCAGCUCCUGUGCUGUAACUCAAUACCAGUUCAGAGGUAACUAUCUGUGAGGUGUACAACCAUUCACUCUCACAAUUUACCAUUCAGGAUUUAGUUAAAGGAUUCAGAAAUGGUGACAGUUUUUUGUGCUCGUGAUCUGUUCCUUUUAGUUCUUGCUAGUCACUGUUUUUUUUAGAAACUGAAGUCACGGGCAACUGCCCUCAGCAGGUUCUGGCUCUGCCACUUUCCAGUGACGCUCUCAAACUCCCAGACUUUGCUGUGUUUUACCGUGCUGGCCAUUUUAUACAAAGGGAUUGUCCACAUGCUUUUGAAGUACUGCAUCUUUCCUUCCAGCAGCAGUUUCUGGCCAUAGGGCAGCUAAGCACAGCCUCCUUUUUUUUUCCUUCUGAUAGCUUUGAUGUGUUGUUAUUCAAGGCUUGAAUAAGAGAACAGAACUUACAUUAGAAUUAGUGUUUUCAAAAACAGAUUAGUUUGUACAAUUGUUUAAACUCAAAUCCAUACAGAGAAGAGGCAGAAUUGCUUUAAAGGUUUUGGGAGGUUUUCUGUUUUUUUUGUUUUUGUUUCUGUUUUUUUUUUUAAGGGUAGUUCUGAAAUGGUUCGGUCCCUUCAUACUCAGGAAGGUAAUCCCUACUGCCUCAACUCCUCACAGCUUCUUCCUCUUCCCCCACUGCAUUGUGCCACUGCCAGCACACUCCACACAGGUAAUGGAGAGCUGAAUUUAUGUGCAGAGUAUCAGGGCUUUACAAAGCUUGACUACAACAGCCUGGAAUGACAAUCUCAUACUUUAUUUAAAUACAGUUAGGAACAUACAUGUCAGUGUGCUCACUUUCUGUGCCCUAAUCGUUCACAGAUCGGUUUUUAAUUACACCACCCUCAGACUUAGCCAAUGGUUGUUGUAAUUUUAAGAUUGAGAGAUUCAUCUUUAUUUUGAAUUCUGCUAGAAUUCUGAAUAGAAACAUCCAACUAUUCUGAACUGCAGAAGGAAUUGCUCUUCUUUUUUAGUAUCUUGUGUGUUUACACGUGGCUGACCCACCAUUACUGUUCAUUCAGAGGCUGCCUGGGCACUCUUCCACCAUUCCACGCUGUUAUGUGCUGGGGUGCAGGGAUAGGGUUGUUCUGCUAUCUACAUCUUUUUCUCCAUCCCUUGAGACCUGUUAAAGACACUUGUGACGUUCCCCCCAGCCAUUUUUGACCAUGCUUUGCCCACCUCCAACAGUGAGCACUUAUCUUCCCAUUCAGGGGAAAGCCUUCAUUCCUGUCCUCCCUCUUUGGCUCCUUUUCAGAACAAUUUGUUCACGUUACAUAGUGCAAAGUUAGGUGCAAACUUAAAGGAAGAUACUUAUAGUGAUCACAGAGUGACUAUCUUGUUAUAACUGUUGAUACUGCACUGUUUUAUAGAGAUUAAAUGAUUCAAAGGGCCCACUAAAUAUUUUAGCUUCAGACAUCAGUUAUAAUCUACUUGCUAGCUUUUCUUUAAAAAAAAAAAAAAAAAAAAACAAGGUGACCAAUAAUGAAUGUCUUUAAAGCACCACUUUGCUAUGCAGAGGACAGCUGGAGGCUGAACUCAGAUGGACGUCACAUAAGGAAAACAUUCAACAACUGGGGGUCAGCUGUUCGUGGCAUAUGGCGAGGAAACAGUGCUGCUUCAUGUGGAUAAUAGGGUAGGUCAUAGUCCAAAGACAAAUCUGUACUUACCUUUUCCAUUAGGUUUGGACAGGCCCCACCUUUUGAGACAGAUUUAUCCAACAAGUUUUAAUGAAAGACACAGAUUCUACUUAGAAAUGCAGAGAUCCUCCAACUUCCAAAGUAUCCGUAAGGAAGGGCUAUUCUUUUCAUUUACAUCCUCACUGCCAAUAGACAAACUAUCUGCGGUGCAAGGUAUGGGCUGAAGGGUAUCAUUAUAACAUUUACUACCAAGGCCUGCUGAAAUUAAAUGUCAUGAAUACCAUCCAUUAGGAAAUGGACAGUUUAGAAACAGUACUGCCUGCUGCAUGCAUUUUCUCUGUAUAGGAGGGAGAGCAACAGGUAAAAACUGAUUUUAAAAAGUCUUUUACUUUUUGUCAUCAUAGCAAAUAGUAUCACCAGGGUUACCUACGGCACACGUUACCAAGUUUACUUCUGCUGGCAGUUCUGCAUCUCUUCAGGUUUUGGGGUACCUGAAAUGCAGUUCUGAGUAAACACAUGCACUCAUUCAACAUCAACAGCAAGAACCCAUUUUAAGAGACAUCUUUCAGCUCAGAAAAUGUUCAGAAGUGUCUCUGGUCAAAUAUCAAAGCUGGUAUGCAAGACAAAGCGGGAUUUUACACUGUAAAAAUCUAACACACUGUCUUUAUGACUUUAUCCCAUGGAUAAAGUGUGAGUGGCAGUGGUUUGAAGAUCAAUUAUUUUUCCAUUAUUAUCCUUUUGCUGUGCAUCGUUCUGAAAAAUAAACUUUCUCUGCUCUUUACCAGUCCUUGUGAAUUGACUUCCAUUGCUAGGCUUAAGGAAGCAGGGCAUGUAGCCACAUUGUCUAUUAGAUCAGUAACAAUGAAGGGAAGCACCUCACCUGUCAUCUCCUCAGCCCGGGAUUUGGUGUCUUCUGACCUCCAGAACACACUCAGUCUUCAGCUGUAAAGGUGUCAGUGCGACGGGCAGGAAAUAUCAGCAGUAUUCUGGUCUUCCCCCCCCCUCCCCCCCCCCCCCACCCCUUUUCCCCAGGUUACACAUACAAACCUGGACUGAUUCAAGCUCCUCCUCAAACUAAAUGAGCAAAAAUUAAGGUUUUCAUUGCAGCUUAGUCCCACUGCAUGGAGUGUUAUCAGCAUAGAGCUCUGUGCUGUGGUGCAUGGUACAAUGCAGGUUAAUGUUACUAAGGGAUGUUCACAAUUGCACGUUACAGAUCUUUAAAAAUACUUCAACCGUACAUGCCAAUAAAGACAGACAAGUACACAAUGAAUUUAAGUAACGUGAGAGUUAAAUAAAUUCCUUUUGAUACUUAAAGUGGAAAACAUGUUUAUUAACAUUCUUUCAAGCUUUCCUUAUUCAAGGCCAUAUAAAAAAAAACUCUGCAUUAGGAUUAUACAUGUUUUGUUACUCUCUACGUAGUUACAGAGGCAUUAUAUAUAAUUUACUUUUCUCAUGAUACGCUGGUAAGUACUGAGCUCUGUUAAUCAGGUAUUUGAAAAGAACAAUUUAUCUAUAUACACAGUUUAUCAGACUAAUGUAGCAUAAAAUGCUCUUCAGUAAGAGGUAUAUGAGUUGAAGAUCAAUAGAAUACUUACCUAAAAUUCUAUGUGGAACAAAACCUCCUCUGUUUUAGUCACCCCCUCCCCCAGCUCCCAUAUCAUCACUGAACAAACAGAUCAUUCGUCGCAGUAGCAAACAAAGCUAAAUUAACGUGUUAACGUUGGAUCUUAAUUUGUGAACUACUUAAAACUAAACAUACAUUCUAAGUUUCUUUAUCCUAGGAACUGCUCAACAGGACAGCUUACACUCAGCUAUUGUGGCAAUCUUCAAAGGAUUAUUUGGAAUCACUGCUUUACGAUGAAAGUGGAAUCUCUUCUGCUUGCUCUUGAUAGACCAGCACAUAGAAUCUGUUCUACAUUUUGUUUUUGAUAGUGGUGACAAUUUUUAGGAAAACUCUACACAAACAUGCAAAUAGACUUUUUCGUUGGGCUUAAGGGGUAAUACAUACCAUACACAUAAUAAAUACUGCUAUCAGCAUGACCCAGCCGUAGCUACAAAAUUAUUUCCAUCUAAAUCCCAUUUCAGCAGAUACCAACAUUUAAAGUAGCCUGUGUGAGAUUUCUAUCGAUAUACGCUAUUAACAUUAUUCAUUAGCAUUGUGGAGUCCAGUUAAACUGUCUUGAGAAGACAGAAAGUGUGACUGAAUACCUGAAUCAAAAAUAAAUCUACCUGUAAUGAUUAAACAAACCAUAGUACAACUACAUAAACCGCUCCUACUGAAGAAACCAGAUGGAUAAAAAUAUAUUACCUACAUAAAUGUUUGUGUUGUAUAGCCUCAAGAACUCUUUUAUUCAUUCACUUCUCGUCAUGAGUAGUCUCAAACAGUAUUUGUCACUCUGUAAUCCCUUUCAUCAUUGGGCUGGAGCUGAACUACUACACUUUCUUCAUUCACUCCACUUUCUGCAUCGCUGCUAUCAAUAUUGUCAUUGUCAUCUUCCUCGUACUCGGAGGACUCGGUCAUGUUCUGAUGGGAAUGUGAUUCUGACAGAGCCCCAAACGACUGAGUGCUAACUGAGGCUAAGGGUCUAAGCAAGGGGGUAUUUUCAGAUACUUCGUUUUCUUCUUGACUGCUGUCUGUCUCAGAGUCAGAGUCCCCCUGAGAAGGGACCACUUUCUGCUUACAAACAGGACAUGUUUUUUUUGUUUUUGUCAGCCAUGGGUCCACGCACUUGCAGUGAUACGCAUGAGAGCAUGGAAGGAUUCUGAGCUUGUCUCCAUCCUCAUAUUCAUCCAGACAAAUGGCACACACAUCAUAUUCAUCUCCUUUCUUAAAUUUGUGUACGGGAAGUUUCUUCAGCUGAUCCUUCCUCAGCCGAUUCCUUCUUGCCCUGUGUCUGUCUUGCACAAAUUUUGUGAUCAUAAAUAUGACAAUGAGAAUAAGGCAGAUCCCAACUAUUAUCAGAAAAGGGAUUAAGUAGUACUCCAAAGGAAGACUGAACUCUGGGAUCAACACAACGUGGCCACCCUUUUCAUACGUAAAUUCUUCUUUAAGAGAAUUAGCCGAUGCCUCCCC